UUAGUUUUCAAAAUUCCAAACAUAUCCCUAAUAUGAAAAAACCCUAAAAUGAAGGCAGCGUUGAUUUUCUCAUUUGCGCAGCGUUUUUCUUCCUCUCCCACAGCAGCAUAGCAGCGACACCUCCACAACAUUCUUCUUUCAAUCUCACACAUUCCUUUUUGGUGAUUUAGAGUGCUAUUCACAAAAAGGUAAGUAAAUUUCUU
rnacentral:lncRNA from 1 species